GAAACGAACAGAUCGCAGAUCGCGGCUGAAAAAAGAAGAGGAGACAGAGAUACGGAGGACGCGAUAGCGAUGGAGGAAGAUGGUAGAAAGGGGAAAAGCGGCGAGCGCGGAAAUCCCGGCGAGAAUCCUUAUCAACAGUGUCGCGGUGAAGAACGCGAGAAGCGAUUGUCGGAUAACGGCGCGGAGAAAAUCGACCGAUUAGAUCGAGUCGAGGAGAAGAACGAUGCGACGGAGAUACCGGGGAAGCUGGCCAAGAGCCUCGAGCAUGAGCUCGAGAAUGAGCGUGGUCGACGCGAUCGACGCGAUCGACGCGAAAGCGAGGAAAACCCGGUUGCUCGUAGAGAUAGGAAGAAAGAAAAGAGGGAUAAGGACGACGAGCAGGCAGAUAGGGUGCGUCUAAGUAAGAAUAAGGGGUCUGGAAGUAAGAGAACGACGGAUUCGGCUGAUGGUGACGCGGAAACGGGACGCUCCGCCGUUAAUGAAGAGGGAAAACUUCCUGCGAGCAACGGAAAGCGCAAAGGUGCGUCAACCGGCGAAAGAAGCGAUCCCGGGGAAGCGAGAAAACGGACAGCUAACCCUUCAAAUCCAAUCGAAUACCAAUUAUCGAACGCGCACUUUGUGGAGCUCGGUUGGACCCGAUUGCCAGUUACCAAAAUUAUGAGAAAGAUCGUACGAUAUGAAGCCAUACCGGCGAAGCCCGGCCUAAAUUGGAGGCAAAGACGCAUUGGCGAUCGAGAGGGAGUCUCAGAUCUUGGCGAUAUUCGACACCAUGGGACACGGCGUCGUUCUCGACGUGGACGGCGCGGCGAGGUAACGCGCGCGGAAAAAGAAUUUACAAAAGAAUGUUUAAUUACUGUCGAGAGAGAAGCUCUCUCGCGCGCACGCCAAUUCAGGCACUCCAAUUACUUCUGCAGGCUGUCCUACAACCAGAUCGGAGGAAUUUUUACGGACAAUCCCGCCGGUCUGCCCCUCGUUUGGGCUUGGAACGCGAAUCCGAGGGAGUCGAUACUCGAGACUGUAUACACGGUGUGUGCGUGCGCGCGCGAACGAUGUUUAUCGGAGUUUUUCCCACUUCCUUCCAGUAUAGAUUUUCGAUCAAUCAUGAAUAAGCGAACGGAGCUAAAACCUUUCACGUACUUUAUAACUUCUCCGUCGAAUCACGAAUUGAAAAUAUGUAAAGGCAACUUUUACGCGAUUCCUACAGCUCGUAAAUAGAAUAACAAAUUUAUCCUGAAAUUUUCUGUAAAGAGAUUAUACGCGGAAUGGGCACAGUCGUUACGUUAUCCAUGCAAGAUUUAGCAUUUUAAAUGAUACUAGUGUUAAUCGAUAAAUUGCAUGAAAUAAAACGAUCUUUUUUUCAACUGCAGGAAAAUUUAACCGAACCGUUGCAAAUGGAAUUUUUCCGUCCGACUGGUAAAUCGACGGAAAGGUGAGACAUGCUUUCAAAGAUUUAUUUCCGGAAACGUUAAGACACCGAUAUCACCGUCCAGCUCGAGAAAUAAGGAAAAGAAGGUCGCCGAAGUGCAGAAACCUGUUGUCGAGGAGCGACAAGAAGAGGCCGGGAGCAAGUAUGUCAAGCAAAAAAGUAGAGCGAAUUCUAUCCAAACAAAGCAUUCUAAUUACGCCACAUACUACCGUUUGGAAAUACUCAUGCUGGAAAUAAAUUGCAUCGUAUUUCGUUAAGCGCAUCUCUCUCGUUUAUGGAUACUGCCCUAUUUAAAAUAAUGUUUCACGAAUUAUAUAUUGUCGUGCGUGUUGAAAAUUAACGCAUUAGAGAAUUAUAUAUAAGAUAUACCUACUCGUUCUGUAAUAAUAAU